GAACUGCUCUUUCCUUUAUAAAAUACCCAGUCUCAGAUCGUGUAGACUUCAAUUGGCAGAGUUACUCAGUAUUAUUUACUUGGAAAAUCCUCUGUAACCUAAAAGUCCUAGCUCUCCUGACACUAAGGAUGACAAUGGAACACUUAAAUGGCCUGUUAUUUGAUGAAGAUGAUAUAAAUAGAAGCAGAGCAGCACAUAGUGUGACCACGAAAGGCCAAAGAGCACAUACUGGAGACCUGAAUGUCAACCAAACUGCAUAAUCCCUGUUUAUCUUCAUUGUAGAAAUUGCCAUAACCGUGAGUUCUUUAGAUUCUUUGGUGUUCUUAGUACAUCCUAAUGCAAGAACCUCUCACUGAGAUCGUAGGUAAGGAGUAGAAUUUUGUGAUAGGCUAAUGUGAAGCCAUGGUGAA
rnacentral:lncRNA from 1 species